rnacentral:rRNA from 1 species
GCUUAUGGCCAUAUCAGCCUGGGUACGCCCUUGAUCUCGGAAGCUAAGCAGGGUCGGGCCUGGUUAGUACUUGGAUGGGAGACCGCCUGGGAAUACCAGGUGCUGUAAGCA